CCUACGGGGCGCAGCAGUGGGGGAUAUUGCACAAUGGGGGCAAGCCUGACCCAGCAACGCCGCGUGAAGGAAGAAGGCUUUCGGGUUGUAAACUUCUUUUCUCAGGGACGAAGCAAGUGACGGUACCUGCGGAAUAAGCCACGGCUAACUACGUGCCAGCAGCCGCGGUAAUACGUAGGUGGCAAGCGUUAUCCGGAUUUACUGGGUGUAAAGGGCGUGUAGGCGGGAAAGCAAGUCAGAUGUGAAAACCAUGGGCUCAACCUGUGGCCUGCAUUUGAAACUGUUUUUCUUGAGUACUGGAGAGGCAGACGGAAUUCCUAGUGUAGCGGUGAAAUGCGUAGAUAUUAGGAGGAACACCAGUGGCGAAGGCGGUCUGCUGGACAGCAACUGACGCUGAGGCGCGAAAGCGUGGGGAGCAAACAGGAUUAGAUACCCCAGUAGUC
rnacentral:rRNA from 1 species